GCAGACACAUUCCAGCCAAUCAGCAGCAGACCCUCCCUCCCAGACCCUCCCGCCUCCUGGACAGCAUCCAUUUUACAUUCAUUGUGAAGCUGCAUUCUUAGUGAGCUGCCCAGGAGGUGGGAGGGUUUGGGAGGGAGGGUCUGCUGCUGAUUGGCUGGAAUAUGUCUG
rnacentral:miRNA from 1 species